rnacentral:rRNA from 1 species
UACGUAGGGGGCGAGCGUUGUCCGGAAUUAUUGGGCGUAAAGGGUGCGUAGGCGGUCUCUUAAGUCUGAUGUGAAAGCCCACGGCUUAACCGUGGAGGGUCAUUGGAAACUGGGAGACUUGAGUGCAGAAGAGGAGAGUGGAAUUCCAUGUGUAGCGGUGAAAUGCGUAGAGAUAUGGAGGAACACCAGUGGCGAAGGCGACUCUCUGGUCUGUAACUGACGCUGAGGCACGAAAGCGUGGGGAGCAAACAGG